AGACCAAUUGGGUUGAAGCACCAAGUGAGUUCAGAUAUUUACACUGAUCUAGAAGAGAUGGGCCUUAAAGAACUGAAAUCUGAGGACAGUUAGUAUGCCCAGUUAGGUCUUCAGGUUACCCUGGGAGAUACAUGGUACCUUUUGGAUACAGCUGUAGUACAGCUGGACUAUGGCUCAGAAAAGGUUGGCCCAGGCUGGGCGCCAUGGCUCACGCCUGUAAUCCCAGCACUUUGGGAGGCUGAGGUGCGUGGAUGACUCGAGGCCAGGAGUUUGAGACCAGUCUGGACAACAUGGCGAAACGUGGUCUCUACUAAAAAUACAAAAACUUAGCUGCGAGUGAUGGUGUGUGCCUGUUUGUUAAGUUCAGAAGAGGGAGGCCUCCAGCAUUCUGCUGGAGAGAUUUAUGAUGAUGAUGUUGAGGGCUGCAUUGAAAUACAUGAAAGAAAUACAUGAAAGGAUACAAAAUAGUAUAUACAGUCAGAUCUCAGCAGCAAAGACUGGAAGAAAAUACAUAAAAAACCACUGACAUUGAAAUGGCAAUAACACACACUAAGGCAGAGAAGGGACAAG
rnacentral:lncRNA from 10 species